CUAAAGACAAACUGUUGAUGAGCAUUAGGCCAUCUUAGCAUAGAAAGUAAGUUUGUCAACGUCACCCGGGGAGCCAGGACAAGUUGACCCAAAUUUAUGUAGUUCUGAAGCACAGAAUUUGGUCACUCCUUGGUCGAGAGCAUGCCAUGUGAAUGUCAGAUGCUGUGGAGUUGACAUCACCAGAUUUUGGACAUUCAGAAUGUGUUCAUUGGAUCAAUGAGAAGCUCAUACCUAUCAUCUCUCGUUUCAGUAAACUUUUGAUGUUUUCAACUUGUUUACUUGUGGCAUGUAUAUAGGAUGGUUUGGCUUGUUUAAGUGAAUGUAUAUGUUUUGGUAUGUUUAUAUUUUUAUGUAAGUUGAUGAAGUAUUUUGGUACGUGAUAUUUGGCUUGAUGUCAAAUUUGGUACUUUAAAGGUUAAAGGAAAUGACAAUGUUUUGAA